CGUAGGGUGCGAGCGUUGUCCGGAAUUACUGGGCGUAAAGAGCUCGUAGGUGGUUUGUCACGUCGUCUGUGAAAUUCCGGGGCUUAACCUCGGGCGUGCAGGCGAUACGGGCAAUACUUGAGUGCUGUAGGGGAGACUGGAAUUCCUGGUGUAGCGGUGAAAUGCGCAGAUAUCAGGAGGAACACCAAUGGCGAAGGCAGGUCUCUGGGCAGUUACUGACGCUGAGGAGCGAAAGCAUGGGUAGCGAACAGGAUUAGA
rnacentral:rRNA from 1 species